GGAUUCCGAGUAGAGGCGUGGCAGGUUCUGGGUGUGCUAUUCGAAGACCUUCAAAAUAUGGAUGUGAAAGACAGAGAAGACGUAAAAUCGGGAAAUAAUCAUCAUGACAGGUGUUCACAAAGAGACUGGAGCGGAUAUCCAAGAAAACUGGAUUGGGUCUGAGAAGAUCUGAAAAUAACAGAGUUGGGGACAUCUGCAAGAAGCUGAGGAACCCUGAGCUUAAGCAACUCCAAUCUUUUAUGAUGGGCUACAAGCAAACCUACCCAGCAUUUACCCAGGAGGAAGACACUAUCUUGACAAACCUGCUGUCUUCUCUGGAGCAAGUCACUAUCUCGAUUUUCCAAGGCUGUUUGCUC
rnacentral:lncRNA from 1 species